rnacentral:rRNA from 1 species
AUGUCGUCGUGGGCGGUGGACAUGGAGAAGAAGCUCGACGACGCUGAGCAACCGGCUAAAGUGGAGAGAUGGUUGAAGCACUGCGUUUUCCGUGUCCCAUCGCGCUUUAAGAUGGCCAUUAUUGGAGGGGCGAGCUGCGUAUACAAGCCGCAGACGGUGUCCCUUGGCCCAUUCCACCAUGGCGACAAGGACCUGAAACCCAUGGAGGAGCACAAGCUGAGGGCCGUCCGUCGCCUCCUUCACCGGCCCAACUGCAAGACAACCCUUGCCGAGCUCAUCGCCGUCGUGGAAGAGGUGGCCGACGACCUGCAGGAUGCCUACAUGGACCUAGGCCAAGAGUGGCAGGGCAAGGAGAACAGGGGCAAGUUCCUAGAAAUGAUGAUCACGGACGGCUGCUUCCUGCUAGAGGUGAUGAGGACAGUUGCCGCCAUGUAUCAGGAAAAUGGAUCCAUUUUCAUGGCCGUGGCCGACAAGCACGGUGACCCCGUCUUCAGCAAGCACGAAAUUCAGCACAUCAAGCCAUUCGUCCAACGCGACAUGCUCAUGAUCGAGAACCAACUCCCACUGAUGUUGUUCCAGAAGAUCGUUGCAGCCGAGGAGGGCAAACCACCGAGCACGGCUUCGAUAAAUUUCAUGGUGCUUAAGUUCCUGGAAAGAGAAGAUGUCCCGGAAGGGCUCAACCUAGGACUCCACCCGCUUGACAUCUAUCGGACGAGCUGGCUCAAGGCAGGGAUGAAGACAAGGGGCGACAAACAAGGGCAAUGCCACCCACAAGGCCUCCUCAAGAUAAAAAGCUGGAUGCAUUCAUGCUUCAAGGCCCGCCAACAUAAUAUUCAUAGGGACAGGGGUGUGGAGACAGAGACCGGGGCAUCGCGUCUUCCCCAAACAACUAUGCAUCCGCAGAGAGUGGUGCCACGGUCGGCGUGGAAGUUGUCUGAGGCAGGCAUUCAGUUCGUGCCCAGCAACACGAGCUGUCUUGACGACAUUGACCUGGAUAACUGGACGCUCUACAUGCCCAAGGUACUUAUAGACGACUCGACCGCCUACAAGUUCCACAACAUGAUGGUGUUCGAGGCGAUGCACGUGGGCACCAAAAACGACGUGACGGCGUACGUGUUGUUCGUAAAGGACCUCGUGGAUUCCACCGACGACGUGCGCCUGCUGGUGAAGAAGAUGAUCCUGGAGCAUGACCUUGCCGACGACAACGCUGCCGUGGUGAGGCUCUUCAACGGCCUCACCAAGGAUGUGUACAAGAACCGGAAGAGUCAAUUGUGCCGCGUGCAUGAUGACCUGGUGCACCACUACACCAAUCACCGUACGCGUGUCAACAUGUACGAGUGGUGGGCACGCCUUAGGAGCAAGUACUCCAAGAGCCCCUGGACGGCCCUUGCCCUUCUCACCGUCGUCCUGCUCCUCGUCGGAGACAUCGUGCAGUCCGUGCAUGCAGUCCUAGGCUAUGAUCCCAAAAAGGCCAAACCCAAAAUGGAUUAA